rnacentral:lncRNA from 1 species
AAAUGACCAUUAAGAAGUAGAUGCCCAGAUGCAAAAGUGAUGAAACAGUCAAUUUGUCAUAAAGUAAGAUGCAGCUGUGGCUUUUCAACCAGAUUAGGACAAAAUUGUAUCUAUUUUUCUCAGAAGAGAAUUCCACAAGGCUCCUGUUGUUGCAGGAAGGCAGACCCCUUAAAGGGCCCAAAACUGGGCUCUUGUCUAACACUCGGAAAUGAAUUGUCUGAG